ensembl:lncRNA novel transcript, antisense to ZYG11A
GAAACUACAUUUUCUGUAAUUAGAGAUUACUCUGGAUUUUAUAAAUAAGAAUGUGGUUCCUGUACCAGAUCUUGGAGAAGAGUACGCCUCUGGAAGUCACGGGAUAUCCAAAGCUGUCUGUCAGAUGUCAGGUCAGAUGGAGCAGAGAACCCCAGAGACAAGAAGGGAGGGGAGAAUCAGGAAUUGGCUUUUUUCCCUUUCCUGCUUCUCAGGUCAGAUAAAUUCAGAACUCUUAUUCUUAUACCCGCCUCCGCCUCAAGCUAGCCUAAAACCCACAAUCCAACUCCCUUGAUGAGGAUGAUCAUUAACAACAAUCACUAAAUAAGUACUUACUAAGUGCCAGGCACAGUACUAGAUAAAUAAAAUUGUCUUUUUAUCUA